CCGGGCGCCAGAGGCCCGCCACCAGAUGUUACCAUGAGUAUCAGUUGGAGCACAAGGAGCUAUGGUAAUAGGAGUGUUUGGGAGAGCUGGGUCUUGUUUGAGAAAGGUAGCAUUGGUACAUCCUUUCAAUGCCACUCAAUCCAUCAAGAUCAUAUUUGUAAUGAUGACGGUGACAAGAGUGAAGACAGUCCUAGUCCCAAGCGACAACGCCUUUCCCAUUCAGUCUUUGACUAUACAGCAGCAUCACCAGCCCCAUCACCACCAAUGCGACCAUGGGAGAUGACAUCAAAUAGGCAGCCUCCUUUGGUUCGGCCCAACCAACAUCACUUCUCAGGGGAAAGAUGCAACACACCCGCACGAAACAGGAGGAGUCCUCCUGUUCGACGUCAGAGAACAAGGAGAGAUCGUUUGUCUAGACAUAAUUCCAUUAACCAGGAUGAAAACUAUCACCAUCUCUCCUACGGACAGCAGCAAGCAAUAGAAGAGCCCCGAGCCUUUCACCCACCAAACGUAUCUCCUCGUAUGUUGCACCCAGCUGCUCACCCACCACAGCAGAAUGCAGUGAUGGUUGAUAUUCAUGAUCAGAUCCAUCAGGGCACAGUUCCUGUCUCAUACACAGUGACAACGGUGGCUCCACAUGGGAUACCACUUUGCACGGGCCAGCACAUCCCAGCCUGCAACACACAGCAGGUCCCAGGGUGCUCAGUGGUUUUCAGUGGGCAGCACCUUCCAGUCUGCAGUGUGCCUCCCCCAAUGCUUCAGGCGUGCUCAGUCCAGCACCUACCUGUACCAUAUGCAGCAUUUCCACCCCUCAUUUCUAGUGACCCAUUCCUUUUGCAUCCUCCUCAUAUCUCUCCACACCACCCUCCUCACUUGCCUCCUCCAGGACAAUUCGUUCCUUUCCAAGCACAGCAGUCACGGUCGCCACUUCAAAGGAUAGAAAAUGAGGUAGAACUGCUUGGAGAACAUCUUCCUGUAGGAGGUUUUACAUACCCUCCCCCAGCCCAUCCACCAACAUUGCCUCCCUCAGCUCCUCUCCAAUUCUUAACCCACGAUCCUUUACACCAGGAGGUGUCAUUUGGUGUACCUUACCCACCUUUUAUGCCUCGAAGACUCACAGGGCGCAGCAGAUACCGAUCACAGCAGCCAAUACCACCACACCCUUACCAUCCCAGCCUAUUACCUUAUGUGCUAUCAAUGCUGCCAGUGCCACCUGCAGUUGGACCAGCUUUCAGCUUUGAGUUGGAUGUGGAAGACGGAGAGGUAGAAAACUAUGAGGCACUGCUGAAUUUGGCAGAACGCCUAGGAGAAGCCAAACCACGAGGGUUGACAAAGGCAGACAUUGAACAGCUUCCAUCCUACAGGUUCAAUCCAAACAACCACCAGUCAGAACAGACAUUGUGUGUGGUGUGCAUGUGUGAUUUUGAGUCAAGGCAGCUACUUAGAGUCUUGCCCUGUAACCACGAGUUCCAUGCCAAGUGUGUCGACAAAUGGCUGAAGGCAAAUCGUACCUGCCCAAUUUGUAGAGCUGAUGCUUCGGAAGUGCAUCGUGAUUCAGAAUGACCAGUCUAAAAGCACAAAUCUGGUUUGGGUGUUCCUGGUCACAUGUAUAUAUGAACUAUCUAUUGAACUUACCCAUGUGGCUUCCAGCCUACCCUUUACACAAAAGGGUCAAUGGACCUUACUUUGCACUGUGUGACUUAAUCAAUUAUAAAGCUUAUAACUAGUCUUCACAGUUACGGGAUUGUUAUACUAACAGUGUGAUUGGAACUCCAAAGAUUUUUUUUUUUUUUUUUUUUUUUUUUUUUAGCUUAAUUUUGUGUGUGCACUAACAUUCCCUGGUUUUUGUGUGAUCAUUCCGAGUGUUGCUGCGAGAUUAUUGUGGAUGUGAUCUUUUAGCAUGUGCUUUUAUAUAAAAGAAAAAGGAAAAAAAAAAGUGGUAGCUCCAAACAAUAUAGCAAUCUACCUUAUAUAGAGCCUUCAGAUACUGUGAGUGGAAAUGAAUGGUGUAAAUGUGUGUUUGCUUGUGAGAGGAUGUGUGACGUGUGCUUGUGACUGAGUGAGUGUGCAUGUGUGUUUGAGAACCUAUAUACCAGCAUGUACCAAGAACGUAUGUGUGUAGUAAUAAUUAUGCUGCAAUGUAUAAUCUUGUGUGUUAUUUAAACAGUACUAGUACUGUACACUGGUUCCUUUCCUUGUGUUUGCAGUUGCACACUGAAUGCGAUGGGUGCAGCAAUUACAGACAUUUAGUAUUUCCUCCCCCAUGUACUUGCAGCUCAUCUCUUCUGGAAUGGUUCUUUCGUUUGCAUGGGAUUCUUGCAAAUACAUGUGGACUCUUGCUUCCUGUGGUUAGUGUGUAUAAACAGCACACUUGCAUAUGUUCUGAAUCAGCUCAGACAAGCGACAACUCUGUUGUGGCUGUCAAGGGAGCGGGAUUCAUGUUCAGCUGUUAACUGCCAUGUGUUAUGCACAUUUGUAUGUAAUUUCACAGCCUGCUAUGGUGCCUGGCAGCACCUGAAUUUAGCAAGACUUUUUUUAUGUUGAUUGCCUUUCUGCCAUCACCUGGCUCCUUCUUCUCCAAAAAAAAAAAACAACCAAACCUGUAGUAUGUUUGCUUUAUCAUAUUGGCACUGCUGUGUUUUUGCAUAAACUGUCAAUUUAAUUUGACAUUUCAGUGGAUAUGAAGGCCUACAGAUAAUUCCAAUGUCUCAUUUUGUGGCUCGCUUUACAAAAAAAGCCUUUUGUUGUAUGCCAUUUUGUGCAGCUUUUGAAUGUGAUUUCACAGUUGUUAAUCCAUUGUGUAAUACGUGGGAUGAGAUUUACCAACGUUUCUAAUUUUAAUUGUAGAAAACACAUUUUUGACUGAGUUAUCUUUGGGCCUUUGUAAAAGCUGUGGUUUUUUUCUUUGGUACAUUGUUACCUCAUUUUGCUACUUGUGUUUCAGAUUUGCUAAUGAUUAUGAAAGCUUAUGGGUUUUGUUGGAGUCAUAUUUUGUCAAGUGUUUUCUUUAAAUCAUAUGCUAUUGUAUCAUUUAACAUGUAGUUUUAAAUGUAUUGUAUCUGUAACCAAAUCAUUUGAAGGCUUGAUAAAUUUUUAACAAAAUUUGUACAUUUUUUAUGAGAGUUACUAGUAAUGCUUUACUAGGUAGUGCAAUGAAUUUUUAUUUUUAAUCCCUGUGCCCAAUUUUGGAGUUGAGAGAGUUGUUCGGUAAUAAAUGUAUGAU